rnacentral:rRNA from 1 species
AUUGAACGCUGGCGGCAUGCCUUACACAUGCAAGUCGAACGCGAAAGCGGAGCAAUCCGCAAGUAGAGUGGCGAACGGGUGAGUAAUACAUCGGAACAUUUCCAGUAGCGGGGGAUAACCUGUCGAAAGAUAGGCUAAUACCGCAUACGCCCUACGGGGGAAAGCGGAGGACCGCAAGGCUUCGCACUAUUGGAGUGGCCGAUGUCGGAUUAGCUAGUUGGCGGGGUAAAAGCCCACCAAGGCUACGAUCCGUAGCUGGUCUGAGAGGACGAUCAGCCACACUGGAACUGAGACACGGUCCAGACUCCUACGGGAGGCAGCAGUGGGGAAUUUUGGACAAUGGGCGCAAGCCUGAUCCAGCCAUGCCGCGUGAGUGAAGAAGGCCUUCGGGUUGUAAAGCUCUUUCGGUGGGGACGAAACGGUUCGUGCUAAUACCAUGAACUAAUGACGGUACCCGAAGAAGAAGCACCGGCUAACUACGUGCCAGCAGCCGCCGUAA